GACGAACGCUGGCGGCGUGCUUAACACAUGCAAGUCGAACGGUAAGGCCCUUCGGGGUACACGAGUGGCGAACGGGUGAGUAACACGUGGGUGAUCUGCCCUGCACUUCGGGAUAAGCCUGGGAAACUGGGUCUAAUACCGGAUAGGACCACUGCCUGCAUGGGUGGUGGUGGAAAGCUUUUGCGGUGUGGGAUGGGCCCGCGGCCGAUCAGCUUGUUGGUGGGGUGAUGGCCUACCAAGGCGACGACGGGUAGCCGGCCUGAGAGGGUGACCGGCCACACUGGGACUGAGAUACGGCCCAGACUCCUACGGGAGGCAGCAGUGGGGAAUAUUGCACAAUGGGCGCAAGCCUGAUGCAGCAACGCCGCGUGAGGGAUGAAGGCCUUCGGGUUGUAAACCUCUUUUAGCAGGGAAGAAGCGAAAGUGACGGUACCUGCAGAAAAAGCACCGGCUAACUACAUGCCAGCCGCCGCAGUAA
rnacentral:rRNA from 1 species